CUGGGACAUUUUAUCUGAUACGGAUGACUCCAGAGAAGAUCAUCUUGAAACAUCAGAGUGUACUCCUGGCAUUCAACUUCUGGUGCAUAUGGCGGGGGAGCGGCAAGUGAAGAAGUCAGAUCGUUCCGCACGCGUCACAAAUGCGACAAUCAUUGAGCUUCGGUGUGGAUGAUAGAAUAUGUAGGCGCUCAUCUGGAUUUCUCUCAUUUACGAUGGCGGAUGAGCAGCUGAGCAUGGAUUGGGGAGCACUUGGAACAGUGCAGCUUCCGCUACACGGACUAAGAACAAACUGAUGCGCUCUCCAGACUUCCAGUUUGCUGUCUCGCCACGUUGAAGUCCUUAUACUUGAUGACAGAAUGUUCGAUCCGAGGGAUGCGACUGCAGCUGCUUGCUUUAAGCUGUUUGGAUCUAUCGUCAUGGCUGAUACUUCCCAGACAUGAGCAGAAUAGAGUUGCGGUGAACCGUCCUUUUGAGACGGGCGUGACAUCGAGACGCUUUGGACUUGCACUGUUUCGGGACUGGCAACGCGCUCUGCUGAAUGAUUUCGUGCAGAGAUCAGCUGUGCUCACUGGUGACCAAAGAGUAUCCUCGUGCCGUUGUUUACCGGUGAAGUUGAAGCGACAUGCCAACUUCUGUGUGGAUGGAUCAUUGAUUGGAGAAGUCAUUGGGAUACUCACGCGGCUGUCAACCGUCAACGAAAGGGCUUUUUGAAAACUAUAUUGUAUGGAGUGGCAAGCAGUAGCGCAUUUGAUUCAAGGUGGCCCUGCUUCACUCCGUAGUGAUCAUUUCCGUCAGAUUCUGCUGAUCAAGGGCGAGCCACGACUGAGAUGUGCAUCUAGUCUGGCAUUUCUUAACGUUAUUUUUCAUAAGGUGUUUCUUACAGCUGACUUGAGGUACUGCUGGGCUAUCACUGAGACACCGAUGUGACUACGAACAUCUACGCACAGCUAGGCUACACAACACAUGCUUCCUCUUGAGCCGGUGGCUUCUUUCGACUGGCUUCUAAAGAACACCCGAGCGAUGCGUUUGAGAUCGGUGUACCAUAAUUGUAAAAUGAUUGGAUGCCUGAGCCUCAAUGAUCGGCGCUUUUCGACUAAUGAAGGCAGGUGCGGACCGAAGAGUGGGUAUCAGCUGACGGGGCUCACCGACAAGCUCGGUGUUCUGUGGUGGCUGAUAAAUGAAUCAAGUCGCGAACACCAUCCUGGGAACGCUGGUUCUCGGGUCAAAUGCAAGAUUCGGGCAGUAUAAACCAGACCAAAUAACAACCGUGUGAAGUCGCACGCAAGGGGACAGCCUGCUAAACCAGUGUGUGCAGGUUUCGGGGACCUGUUGUGUAACAAGAUCCAUCCAUCUCUGAUGUUUGGUUCGGGCUAGCUAUGGAUGGACCCAUCGCAGCUGUGGAAGUCGUAGCACGCUGAACUGAUGCGACGGAUAUUGCUGAUUCAAUAUCAGCAUUUGCUGGCUGCACUGGUAACUGCGGAAAUACCAGCGGUAUACAAAUUUGGUGGGAACGCAGCUCCGAAGGCCAGCUUCGAUAGUACUCAGUGCGGAGGCUGCGGACGUGCAACAUAGUCAUUAGUCAUAUGAAAGUCGGAUCCUGCUGUCGUUCGUGCCGAUGUUACGGCCGAACAACGCUGGGCCAAUCCAUGGUGCGAACAAACCGAUAAGCAGCAUGCGGCAUUCUGAUCCGCGAUAAGGCGGCCCUUCACUCUCCAGUGUCCACCGCCAGCGGAACAUGUUCGUCUGGCGUCAUAUUGCCGUAGUUAUCAUAGGAGGAGCCGUUAAUGCCGACUGACUGGUCAGCAUUCAUCAGUGGUGAACGGUUGGACGUCAACGAGCGUUCAGUAGCAACCUGACUUGAGGCUGCCAACGGAGUGAAUCUCUGUGUAGAAUAAAUGAGCAGUGCCGAAUAUUCGUGUGGAGCAAGGUAUAUCGGUAACUUGGCAAAUAGCACUGCUUAGCGGCGCACCCGGGCCCAUAACUACUCAUUCAUCCAUUCGGAUGCAAUUAAAAAAAAAAACGUCCACUCUCACUGAAGCUGCCAGGGAGCUACUUGCCACUCGUCCGGCGCCGCAGGUCGUCAGAAGCUACAGGCGUCGCCGCGGCUGCCGAGUUUUAUAAAGGGCGGUGAGCAGAUGUCGGACCAUGCCCCGGACUUCGACAGGUCGACUCAGCUGGGUGCAAUGCCGAAGAUAUUGUGCUUCCGCCAAUGAAAUAUUGAUUCAUGUGAAGGUCAUGGCUGAUGAUGUGCCGGGCCCGUGAAGCGCAGUUCGCUCGGCUCAGUGGAAUCCAGCUCUGCCGUUUUUCGACUGGACUUUAUCGCUUAAAGGUGUGCUGAGAGACUCGUUCAAAAGAUGUUUGCGGCCUGGCCAGAUUGAUAAAUCUUAUCAUGAGCGUGGAAGUCCCCGCGUUCUGAGGGAGCCCUUUAGCUCGCCAUACUGAGGUCCGGAUAAGGCAUUGCUCGGAGAGCCGCCCUGAGGAUCACCGGCUGAAUUGACCAGGACAAUAUUGUGAGGUGUUUCCACCAAGUGAUGCUUCAUUUUCUAACCGAAAGCGGUCACGGCCGGGGAUCAACGUCCCGCGCAUUUGAAAGGUUCAAUGCUGCUGAUGGAAUUGUGUCGAAUCUUGGACCCUCGACCAAUGCCCGAGAGGUCAAAGAAAAAAUGGGAACGGUUGACCAAUGAGAUCAUCGGUCAAGAUUACGCCGCUGCUCAAUGCGACCGGCUAAGUGAGCGGCAGGAGCAGCUGUUUCGGACCCUAUAGCCAACUGCUGAUUAUGUCGCCGAAUGGAAUAUGGCCGGGCAUUGCUCUCGCAGUUGCAUUGUCAAGCUCCAAUCUGGAUGGCACUACACAUCUGCAUCUCGUAACACAUCUUUGCUGGUUGCGGAAGUCGCUGAUGGGGCUAAAAAGGACUGCGGAAGUCUCCCGAUACGGCUCACAUUUUGCGAGGACGUGCUCUCGAGAAGAUGUGUGUGGUCUCCGCAGCAUGACUCAAAAACAUCAGCUGCACUGCAGACCUGGAGCCACAGCAAAACAAUUUAUCGAUGCCGAGCGAAACGUGUCAUUCGGGGCAAGUGUGGAACUCGUCCAACUCACGAGAUACUUGCGGAUUAUACGACCUGAACAUCGGUUUAGGUGUUGGUGACGCGAUUUGCCGACAACCAAUCCUGUGAACCAAGUCCUAAUUGGAGCUCUCCGUCCUGUUGCGGGGCUAUAGCCUCGGUGUGUGGCGAGCCGCCUGUGCGCUGUCGGAUAACAGGCACGUCGUCGACACGACUGGAGUGCUGGAGGCCACGCCCGUCGAAAUGUAACGCUCCACUGAGCCCAGGACCCGCGGGCGUGGCCAGUCGGCUACGGUGUCUCGCACUGACCAUCGCGCUUCAGUUUCCAUCGACCAGAAACGGCUACAUACACGGCAUAAUGCGAAGGGUUACGGUGAGACGAGCUGAUGGCAACCAAAAGCUCCUACCGAUUGCGGCGCAUAUCUUCACUAGACUUGUAUCGUGAGACUCGUCUGACGCACUACCAUCUGGAUUGAAAUUCUUCCCAGCCAGCAGGGCUCCUAUGGGGAACUUCUGCUGGAGCAGUGAGCACCAGCCAGCGCUCCGUGACCUAGCUAAUUGAACGUUCAGAAAGAUCUUCGAUCUGUUCCUGGCGUCGGCGUGAAGUCCGAUCGCUUUCUUUAAUCGGUUAAAUAGUUAUUCAUGGUAAGUAUAUGUAAAGUUUAUGUAUAUGUAAAGUAAAGUAUAUGUAAAUAUGUUAAGUUCAAUAAAUCGGAAAUAUUACAUUAUAACACAUUUCUCAUUAUCAGGACUUACUGAAUGAAAAUGCAGUUGUUUACAGUAAACUGAAUGAAAAUGCAGUUGUUUACAGUAAAAAUGAGUUUUAUUUAAUCUUUCGUUGGAUGAGCUGCAAUUGUUAUGCGGCUCAUUUUCUCGGCUCAGGCUUUCGCGCAAAGUGAACAAUGAACAUGCUUUGUGGUGUGGUCUGCCAAUAAAUGCUGAUACCUUA